rnacentral:miRNA from 1 species
AGCACACACACACACACAGCAGUGUGUGUAUGUGUGUAUAUAUGUGUAUGUAUAUAUAUAUAUAUAUAUAUAUACAUACACAUAUAUACAUACAUAUAUAUAUAUGCGGCGUGUGCUUGUGCUUU